UACAUCGGUGACAGGUGGUGCAUGUUGUCGUCAGCUCGUGUCGUGAGAUGUUGGGUUAAGUCCCGCAACGAGCGCAACCCCUAUUGUUAGUUGCCAUCAUUCAGUUGGGCACUCUAGCGAGACUGCCGGUAAUAAACCGGAGAAGUGGGGAUGACGUCAAUCAUCAUGCCCCUUAUGACCUGGGCUACACACGUGCUACAAUGGUUGGUACAACGAGUUGCGAGUCGGUGACGGCGAGCUAAUCUCUUAAAGCCAAUCUCAGUUCGGAUUGUAGGCUGCAACUCGCCUACAUGAAGUCGGAAUCGCUAGUAAUCGCGGAUCAGCACGCCGCGGUCGAAUACGUUCCCGGGCCUU
rnacentral:rRNA from 1 species